UGUGAGGUGGUGCGGAUGGUUCUGGGAUUAAAAACUAAGAACAGAAAAUAAGGAAAAACAGUAAACAGGGGAAGAGAGUUGAAAUUGGUGACUCUUUCGAAAUUCCUCAUGGUUUGGGGAUUUCCUGUCGGGGCGCAAGCUUGAGAAAUUCCUCAGUGUUGGAAGCUCAAAGGGAUAAGCCAUAUUACGCGUUUAUUCGAAAAAAAUGCAAGGAAGAAGAAGGAGCGUGUGCACUACACGUAGGGCGCGUGAGGAGCCGCAAAUGGGCUUGCGACUGGGAGUUCUCCUGGCGCGUGGGACAAACACACCGAGAGCGUCUAAUUGAAGGAAAUUGUGUUGAAAUACCCUAUUAAACGUACAUUCAGGGAGAAAGGGA